rnacentral:tRNA from 1 species
GCCGACUUAGCUCAGUUGGUAGAGCAACUCACUUGUAAUGAGUAGGUCGUCGGUUCGAAUCCGACAGUCGGCUCCA